CCUACGGGGGACAGCAGUGAGGAAUAUUGGUCAAUGGGCGGGAGCCUGAACCAGCCAAGUCGCGUGAGGGAAGACGGUCCUAUGGAUUGUAAACCUCUUUAGGCGGGGAGCAAUGCCGGGCACGCGUGCCCGGCGGGAGAGUACCCGCAGAAUAAGCAUCGGCUAACUCCGUGCCAGCAGCCGCGGUAAUACGGAGGAUGCGAGCGUUAUCCGGAUUUACUGGGCGUAAAGCGCUCGUAGGCGGUAUGUCAAGUCAAGGGUGAAAUCCCCGCGCUCAACGUGGGAACUGCCUUUGAAACUGGCAAACUGGAGUGUGUGAGAGGAUAGUGGAAUUCCAGGUGUAGGAGUGAAAUCCGUAGAUAUCUGGAGGAACAUCAGUGGCGAAGGCGACUAUCUGGCACAUAACUGACGCUGAGGAGCGAAAGCGUGGGUAGCAAACAGGAUUAGAUACCCCAGUAGUC
rnacentral:rRNA from 1 species